rnacentral:lncRNA from 1 species
CGAUAGCCACAUGAAUUAGAUCUGUAUGGAGAGGACCACACUGGUUGUGAUCAUGAAGACCUGUGCAGGGAUGAUAAUGAUGUUCAGGAGGUAUCAGAUGAAGGCAGUAUUCAUGUAUCAAAAGCAGAUACCACUACCUCAAGUACAAAGUUAUGGACCACAUUCCCGUGCGGAAGGAUUAAAAAAGUACUCCCGACCAGAUGGCCUUGACAAAUGUCUAUGAAGACAGUGAUAGGACAGCAAAGACAAUAAAAUGAUACUGGACAGACACCGGAAGGAACAACUAGCGAAUACAAAUAUUAGGAUAUAUGGACAUUGUAAAGAAUUUCAUGUGUUGGUAGAAACUUACAAUGAAACCACCAAUCACCAAUACUCCCUAGACCAGAGCAAACUAUUGAGUGAGUUAGGCAGAAGCUGCAGUUCCCAGCAUAAUGUGCUGUAGAGUAGCUGCUCUAAUUGCUGAUCCGGUUGUUGUAGCCAAAGCUCAGGUUUCUUGUAGCAGCCCUUAUUCACCUGGUCUUCAUUUACAUUUGAACUACAUCCAGGAUUUGUCACAGCUCUAGAAGGAAGAAGGACUACAUAUCUGUGGAAGAAUCAGGAAACUACUCCAGACUUGUUGCCUUGACAGACGUUUAUUGGAAAUUUGAACAGUGACUGAAUACAUUGAUGUGUAGC